rnacentral:rRNA from 1 species
UUAGUAGCGCAGCUAACGCGUGAAGUUGACCGCCUGGGGAGUACGGUCGCAAGAUUAAAACUCAAAGGAAUUGACGGGGACCCGCACAAGCGGUGGAUGAUGUGGAUUAAUUCGAUGCAACGCGAAAAACCUUACCUACCCUUGACAUGUCUGGAAUCCUGAAGAGAUUUAGGAGUGCUCGCAAGAGAACCGGAACACAGGUGCUGCAUGGCUGUCGUCAGCUCGUGUCGUGAGAUGUUGGGUUAAGUCCCGCAACGAGCGCAACCCUUGUCAUUAGUUGCUACGAAAGGGCACUCUAAUGAGACUGCCGGUGACAAACCGGAGGAAGGUGGGGAUGACGUCAAGUCCUCAUGGCCCUUAUGGGUAGGGCUUCACACGUCAUACAAUGGUCGGGACAGAGGGUCGCCAACCCGCGAGGGGGAGCCAAUCCCAGAAACCCGAUCGUAGUCCGGAUCGCAGUCUGCAACUCGACUGCGUGAAGUCGGAAUCGCUAGUAAUCGCGGAUCAGCAUGUCGCGGUGAAUACGUUCCCGGGUCUUGUACACACCGCCCGUCACACCAUGGGAGUGGGUUUUACCAGAAGUAGUUAGCCUAACCGUAAGGGGGGCGAUUACCACGGUAGGAUUCAUGACUGGGGUG